rnacentral:rRNA from 1 species
CGAGUCUUUGAACGCACAUUGCGCCUUUUGGUAUUCCGAGAGGCACGCCUGUCUGAGCGUCAGCAAAACCUUCGGGAGUAGUAACUUUUGUGACUUAUCCCCGGCGUUGGCGGCGGGCGAUCCCCCCGUGGGAUCCCCCCGCUUAAACCGGGCGCGGGGCAAGUGCUGGUGGCCGCUUCAAUAGUAGAGAUAUUUUUGAAAGCUAAUACCGCAACUGCCCCCUCUAAGAAUUCUACCAUUCUUUGACCUCAGAUCAGACGAGGAUACCCGCUGAACUUAAGCAUAUCAAUAAGCGGAGGAAAAGAAACCAACAGGGAUUGCCUCAGUAGCGGCGAGUGAAGCGGCAAAAGCUCAGAUUUGAAAUCAGGUGCGUCUUCGCGCCCGAGUUGUAAUCUGGAGAGGAUGCUCCGGCGAAACCGGCCGCCCAAGUUCCUUGGAACAGGACGUCUUAGAGGGUGAGAACCCCGUACCCGGCGGCAUGGCUAGCCAUGUGGAGCUCCCUCGACGAGUCGAGUUGUUUGGGAAUGCAGCUCAAACUGGGUGGUAAAUUCCAUCUAAAGCUAAAUAUUGGCGGGAGACCGAUAGCGCACAAGUAGAGUGAUCGAAAGAUGAAAAGCACUUUGAAAAGAGAGUUAAAAAGUACGUGAAAUUGUUGAAAGGGAAGCGCUUGCCAUCAGAACGGGCGCCGGUCGAUCAACGUUCCUUCUGGUUCGUGCACUCGGCCGGCCGCCCUGCCAGCAUCGGUCGCCGCGGCGGGAGAAAGGCGGCGGGAAAGUGGCUCCCCUCGGGGAGUGUUAUAGCCCGCCGUGCCAUACCGCCAG